AGAACAUAUUCAUGGAAUCAAAUCAGUCAUGAACCCUCGCUCACGAUUAUCAAGUGUCUUCGUCUUUCGACACGACUAUCUCAGUUGGCCAGACUAUCAAGAAGCUACAAAAUUGAAAUAUUUUACCAUCGAACCUUCCUACGAUGACAAACAUGCGAUCGCUAUAUACCCAUUCCAAACGACGCAGGAGAUGUACCACAAUGCGUGCCGCUCGAGACGAGUGCUCAUAUACAAGGAGCAGUUCGAGUUGGUUACCGGGC